rnacentral:rRNA from 1 species
UACGUAGGGGGCUAGCGUUGUCCGGAAUCAUUGGGCGUAAAGCGCGUGUAGGCGGCCCGGUAAGUCCGCUGUGAAAGUCGGGGGCUCAACCCUCGGAUGCCGGUGGAUACUGUCGGGCUUGAGUGCGGAAGAGGCGAGUGGAAUUCCUGGUGUAGCGGUGAAAUGCGCAGAUAUCGGGAAGAACACCAAUGGCGAAGGCAGCUCUCUGGGACGGUACUGACGCUGAGACGCGAAAGCGUGGGGAGCGAACAGG